CAAUAGCGUAUAUUAAAGUUGUUGCGGUUAAAAAGCUCGUAGUUGGAUUUCUGUUGAGGACAGCGGGUCACUCCUAUGGAUGUGUAUCUUGCUUGGCCUCGGCAUCCUCUCGAAAUACGGUUCUGCGCUUGAUUGCGUGGGCUAGUAUUCGGGACUUUUACUUUGAGGAAAUUAGAGUGUUCACGGCAGGCCAUUGCCCUGAAUAUAUUAGCAUGGAAUAAUAAUAUAGGAUCUCGAUUCUAUUUUGUUGGUUUCAGGAAUUGAGGUAAUGAUUAAUAGGGACAAUUGGGGGCAUUCAUAUUCCAUUGUCAGAGGUGAAAUUCUUGGAUUAACGGAAGAUGAACUACUGCGAAAGCAUCUGCCAAGGAUGUUUUCAUUGAUCAAGAACGAAAGUUAGGGGAUCGAAGACGAUUAGAUACCAU
rnacentral:rRNA from 1 species